rnacentral:rRNA from 1 species
GACGAACGCUGGCGGCGUGCUUAACACAUGCAAGUCGAACGGAAAGGCCCUGCUUUUGUGGGGUGCUCGAGUGGCGAACGGGUGAGUAACACGUGAGUAACCUGCCCUUAACUUUGGGAUAACUUCAGGAAACUGGGGCUCAUACCGGAUAGGAGCUCCUGCUUCAUGGUGGGGGUUGGAAAGUUUCGGCGGUUGGGGAUGGACUCGCGGCUUAUCAGCUUGUUGGUGGGGUAGUGGCUUACCAAGGCUUUGACGGGUAGCCGGCCUGAGAGGGUGACCGGGCACAUUGGGACUGAGAUACGGCCCAGACUCCUACGGGAGGCAGCAGUGGGGAAUAUUGCACAAUGGGCGGAAGCCUGAUGCAGCAACGCCGCGUGCGGGAUGACGGCCUUCGGGUUGUAAACCGCUUUCGCCUGUGACGAAGCGUGAGUGACGGUAAUGGGUAAAGAAGCACCGGCUAACUACGUG